AGGAGCCGUAUGAGGGGAAACCUUCACGUACGGUUUUGAAGGAGAGGGUGCGAUUCGUUAGCUAGAAACCUUUAC
rnacentral:ncRNA from 1 species